UCGCUACUACCGAUUGAAUGUCUUAGUGAGCUUUGGGGACUGAGCGCACUGUGUGGUUCGCUACACUGAGCGUUUGUAAACCACCGCAAACUUGAACAUUUAGAGGAAGUAA
rnacentral:rRNA from 1 species